AGGAGCUCAGUGGCUGCUGCAAGUGGAGCAGAGGGCUGUCUGUGCCAGGCUUGUAAGUGUUGAACGCGCGGGGCCCCUGGGAGCUGCUGGUGGCGGAUGAUGAAUGAUUCAUAGCGGGUGUGAGGCUGCAGCGCUGGUCUGUGGGAGAGCGACUCCUGGGUGAGGAGAGGAUGCGGCAGACGCGCGCUUCUUCUUGCUGCAGAGACACGGCGGGACCAGGCGAGGAGCUUGAGAUGCGGCAAUUGGCCCCAUGAUCUGCUGCCCCACGAGGAAGAGGUCGUGAAGUGACACUGAAUUUGUCCCACAAGCACGAGGAGCAGCAGGAGCCAUGGCUGGAGGUCACACAGUAUGUUGCAGCGACCUAUAAGAUCCUGCCUGCUAAUUCCCUUCCCACCUCCAAGUGAGCAGAUUGUGGAGAAGAGUCAGAGAGGGAUGAGGACAUCUGCUGCUCCCUACACUUCUCUCUAAAGGCUCAUCAGCUCCACUGCUUUCAUCUCAGACAAGCGUUUUCUUCUUUCUAAUGACAAGCCGAUGCUUUAGAAAUUGCUGAUGGCUUUCAAGCUGUACUUGGUUUUUCUACUGUUCUGUGGAUUUACUCUGUCAGAAAGAACUCUGCCCUUGAACAGUGCCCCGGCACGGCUGGAUUUUGGUUAUGUGCCCGCUGAAAGCUAUGAGACGGAUGCCUACCAUGAGCCUGGGGCAAUUGGCUUGUUAUUUCACAUAGUGCAAGGGUUCCUAUACAUUGUACAGCCAAAUGCCUUUCCCCAAGAUCUAGUGAGGAAGGUUGCCCAGCAGAAAUUUGGUGAAAUUCGCAAUGAUUAUCAAAAGCCUCCUCCUAAUCCUGCACACUGCUGCUUUCAGCCCGAAAAUGUGGUCCUCACUCUCCAGACAAUACACUAUGAAAUUGGCUUUAUCAUUGCGGCAGUACUUGGACUUGUGUUUUUGUUGCUGAUGCCGCUGGUAGGCCUGUGCUUCUGCAUGUGCCGCUGCUGUGACAACUGUGGAGGGGAGAUGCAUCAGAGGCAAAAGAAAAAUGGCGACUGCCAGAGGGGCUGCUACUCCACUUUUCUCUUUGUGACCACCUUGCUGAUCAGUGUGGGUGUGAUCUGUGCCUAUGCUGCAAAUCAGAACCUUACCAACCAGAUUAGAGGAUCAAAGAAAUUGGUACAGAGCAACUUUAAAGACUUAAAGACCCUAUUAAAUGAUGCUCCGACGCAAAUCAAUUAUGUACUGAGCAAGUUCAAUGUCACAAAGGACAAAGCCCUAUCAGAGAUGAACAAUCUUGGGCCUUUGCUUGGUGAGCGAGUCCAUGAGCGUCUUGGGAAAGAUGUCCGGCCAGCUUUUGAUGCGGUUCUUAAUAUGGCAGGAGCUAUCAAAGAAACAAAAGAAGCCCUGGAGAAUGUAAGUUUGUGUGUGGAAGUGCUGCAAGAAGCUAUUGACAGGCUGAACAACAACCUCACAGAGGCCAAGUUGCAGCUGACUAGCACACUCAGCGACCCUGCUUGUUCAGCCAACGUUGCACUUAUUCCUUGCAAUAAAAUCACCAGUUCUCUGAAUCAGCUGAACACCAAUGCAAACUUCAGCGUGCUGCCUGAUCUAAGUCACAAUCUUAUCAGAUUAAAUGAAGUCCUCCGAACUGAUCUUAGCAACUUGGUUCAGAAGGGCUAUGCAGCAUUUAACAGUACUCCUGAAAUGGUACAAAACCAAACUCGAAAUAUUGAAGGAGCAGCCAUCCCUCAUAUGAAAAAUGUUUUGGAGUCCAUCGGAGCAAACAUUACCAGCUUUUCCAAAACAGUUCCUGUUCUUCAGAUCAUGGCCAAUAUAAACAAUCAUAUUAGUCAGAGUGAGACAUAUGUUCGGGAAUUUUACCCUGUGGUGGAACAAUACGACUUCUAUAGGUGGCUGGGCUCUCUUGUUCUCUGCUGUAUGGUGUCCCUCAUCGUUGUUUUCUACUGCCUGGGAUUGCUUUGUGGCACCUGUGGGUAUGAUCAGCACUCAUCUCCCACAACAAGAGGCUGCAUCACCAACACCGGAGGGAACUUCCUUAUGGCGGGCGUUGGAUUCAGCUUUAUCUUCUCUUGGAUACUCAUGCUCAUUGUGGUCGUUACCUUCCUCGCCGGAGGAAAUGUGCAAAAACUGGUUUGUGAGCCCUUUCAGGAGAGAUCUCUGUUCAAGGUUUUGGAUACACCCUACCUGAUAAACUCCCAGUGGAAAAAUUACCUUUCUGGAAUACUGUAUCAAAAUCCCAAUAUGAAUUUGACAUUUGAAAAGGUUUACAGUGACUGCAAAGAAAACAAGGGAAUUUUCACUGCACUUCAGAUUGACAAUCUUUUGAAUCUUAACGAAUUUCUAAACAUCAACAUGUAUAUUGAUGACAUUUCUGCAAAAAUUGAAACACUAAAUUUAGACUUGAGUACUAUUGUUUUGCUGGAUGAAAAAGGAAAAAGAAAUUUAGAAGAUUUUAGUUCUACGGGGCUUGAUGAAAUCGAUUUUGAUGCUUUCCUGUCAGAGGUAGCCAAAAGCAAUACAAAGGUAGAUCUCUUGGCAUUCGCUAAUGAAUUGGAGGAAAAUGCAGACUUGCUGCCAAAAGGAGCAUUAGGCAAUGCGUUAAAAGGACAUGCAAAUAGUAUACGGACGAUACAUAUUCAGCAGGUUGUGCCACUGGAGCAGUCAAUGAAAUAUGUCAAAGCUCGGAUCACGCUCAAUCAAAGCAUUAAGCUGCUGCAGAGAACAUCCUUUGAUAUCGAGGGGAAGGUACUGGAUGUUAUCACAGCUGUGGAGGCUGCACAGAAUCUAAUUAACAACAAUGCUUCCUUAAUUAUAAAACAGGAGUCCAAAAAGUUAAUGGAUGAAGUCAUUGGCUACUUUAUUCAGUAUGUCCAGUGGGUAAAGGAUUCUAUCGCCUUCGACGUAGCCGGCUGCAAGCCCAUCGCCAAUGUAGUGGACACUGCAGUCGAUGUGUUUCUGUGCAGCUAUAUAGUAGACUCUGUGAAUUCCUUUUGGUUUGGUUUGGGAGGAGCAACUGUGCUUUUAAUUCCAGCCAUCAUCUUUGCAAUCAGAUUAGCAAAAUUCUAUCGCAGGAUGGACACCGAAGAUGUUUAUGAUGAUGUUGAAACUGUUCCCAUGAAAAAUUUGGAAAAUGGUAAUAAUGGUUAUCAUAAUGAGUAUUUAUAUGGUAUUCACAAUCCCAUUAUGACAAGCAUGUCUUCAUAUGACACAGUGAAUAGGUUCCCUCGAGCCUCUGCCCCACCAAGACAGGAUGAUUGAUGACAAUUACUGUAUCCAGUGGUUUGAGAGUGUGAAGUGCAACUGAACAGUGGUAGAAGACCCUGGAAAUACUGGUGCAGGGAUUAAAGAGAGAAGACACAAUUGCAGCCUGCAUCACUUUAUCCGAUGGAACCUAGUGGAUAAUUUGGUGAAUUCACAUCCAUCUUGAACAAUUGCCCUGACCGGCAGAAGGGGGCAAUAUGGAGAAAUGACUUUCAGAAAAUAAUCUGCCAAACAUAAACACACAACAGUGGGGUUUGAUGGGUUAAUACCAAAUGUUUACACCACUACUAGUUUUUGUAUCAGGUAUUUUUGUACUAUAUUCACUGCUGAAUUAGGAAUGCUGUUUUCUGUAUAUCUGUAAAAGGCUCUGGGGCACAAUGUUCAUAGUUGCACAAUUGCAGUCAGCUAUAGUAACCAAUCAGAAGUUAGCUAUGGUCGGUAAGUUGCAAGCAAAUCUCUGAUUAUGGGCCGCCGCCCUGCAGCAAAUGUGACCAUUGUUAGUAAGGAAGCCUAAAAUUGUCUUUAGAAUAGGGAUGCACUAAAUCCAGGAUCCGGUUCGGGAUUAGGCCAGAAUUCUGCCUUUUUCAGCAGGAUUUAAAUUUGGCCGAAUCUUCGUACCAGACCAUACUGAAGCCUAAUUUGCAUAUGCAGAUUGGGAAGGGAAAUCAUAUAAUUUUUUGUCAAACAAAUGUUUUUUCCACUUUUUCCCUUCCCGUCCCUAAUUUGCAAAUGCAAAUUAUGAUUUGGUUCGGUAUUCGUCUGAAUCUUUCCUGAAGGAUUCGGCCAAAUCCUAAAUAGUGGAUGUGCUGCAUCCCAACUUUAAAAUUCAUCUUAUCCCAACAGCCAAUGGUUUUGAAUUAAUAUCUGAACAUUUUAUGCAUUUUCAACACAUACAACAGGGGCUGUAAGCUUUUGCGUGUUAAAGCAGCUGCAGGUGCAUUUUCUAAUUAUCGUUCAUUAAUAUCGUCAGUUCACACCUCUGUUAUUCCACGUUCAAUUUAUUAUUUAACAAUGAAAAGUUAAUUCUGUUAAUAUUACCGGUUGUUUGGGAAAUCGUUUCUGCACAUACUUGCUUCUGUGAUUUCCAUUUGUACUAUAAAUCUCACUUCUUUUUUAUUGCAAAAAAAAAAAAAAAACAUAAUACAAAUACUGUGAGAUAUGUAUUUUCCAAAUAUGUCACUUUAAUGGGAGUUAAAAACCACAGAGUUGGAAGUGUUUUGCCUCCUUCUAUGUGAUUGUUAUUCGUCCGGUAUAUUAGAAAUAGUUCUCUAAUUAUAGGGGGUACAAGACCCUGAGACUACAGGAGGUGCAGUAAGGGCAGGUGAGGUCACCUGUGAUUUGCAGGUCCCAGGAAUAUUUAUAUGGGGGGCCCUGAAGUUACACCUCUGAUUAACACUCCAGAUGAACUUCAGGAAAAAAAGAAGUGGCUACGUUUUUGUAUUCCCACAUUUGGAAUCCAUGACCGUAGAAAGUUGAUACCCUUUAUUGUUCAACUACAGAUGUCAUUGAACUACAACCUCACUGGUAUGCUAGGGGUUGUGGAUCACUGCAAAUAUCUCCCAACCUGCUAGUGACCAUUCCCAUGUAUGACCAGUAAGUCUCUUUGUCAACCAUGUUACAAUCCUGCAACUAGAAGAGAAUUGCUCUUGCCCCGCAGAUGAUUUUCAGAUAGAUACUCUUGUUAAUGUACAGACUGUAAAUUAGUCAUGCAAGGUGCUAUAUACCCCUUAAAGUGAAUAUAUGCCAUGUGUGCUGUCAGAACCAUCAUUUAUAUCCCUUUCAGCAGGCGUGAAGUUCCGUCCUACUCCAUGCCGAGGACAUUUCUUUCCUGUAUAUCUCAGAUAAAGAUGGCAAUAUGUCAGCACCGUGUAUCCAACAUGACUUGCUCCAUUAAAGCCAAGCCUGAUGAAUAUA